rnacentral:lncRNA from 1 species
AUUUUCACUAUUCUUUCUAGGUAAAUAUCAAUGAGAAGCACCAAAUUUCUCCAUUGUUAUUCUUGAAACCUCUCUGGAUUCUAAAAUGUUGAGCAACCGUCAUCAAUAAAGGAUUGUCAGCAGCAGCAUUAUCUCCGGCAGAGGUGUAACCGCCGGUUUUCAUACAGAUCCGGUGGAUGUCACUAGAUUGAUGAGGUUUUGGUUCGGAUUCGCGACUGGGUGCUCAAUUUCAGGAAAACUAGGGUUUGGUAAGUGGAGAUUCCAACGAUCUAGGGCAUAAAUAAGGUUUCUCCGGUCGACUUGAACUUCCAGCAACCAAACCUAGGGUUCUUCAGUCGACUUGAACUUCCAGCAACCAAACCUAGGGUUCCGGCAAAAGACCUGAUUUCCUGGUCUGUGAACGGCGGCAUCUAAAACCAUAAGGUACGUGGGGAACAUUCAUAUACAUGUGACGGAACCACUUCUUCAAGAGGUUUUUGCAAAUACUGGUACUGUUGAAGGUUGCAAACUUAAAAGAAAAGAGAAGUUGUCUUAUGGAUUCAUUCACUACUUUGAUUUGAUCGUAGAUCCGCUGCACUUGCUAUAUUAUCUCUAAAUGGGAAGCAUUUGUUUGGUCAACCUAUUAAAGUCAACUGGGCAUAUGCCGGUGGGCAGAGGGAGGACACAUCAGAUGGGUGAUUUGCAUUACUCUUCUUGGGAACAUGGCUCGCCAUUUUAACGUUGUAAUCAAGUGGUCAGCAGCCAUCAUUCGUGUUCAAUCAAUAGGUGUUAGGGCUGUGUGGAUGGUUAAAAGUCGCAAAAGGACAACGGUAGUGGGCUGUCAAAACUGGAUAGCAAAUUCACACUUCCAGCCGUGAUUUCGAAACCAAAUUAUGUGGUACAAUGCAACAACGAGUUGGGAUCUUUUGCAGCUGUUUGAGGACUGAGAACUAUGUACAAACAACCACAUUAAGGGUCGGCAAGGGCUGCCAAAACAGAUUGACAUCCA